rnacentral:rRNA from 1 species
AUGGCACCCAAGAGCAACGCUACCAGGAAGGCUGUGAUUUUCGUGGUUCUUAUGAUCGUGGCUUCCACCCUAUCAUCAUCGUCUUGCUACGCCCGCACAAUUGAAGAUGGAGCGAAUAUUCCAUGCUUCCAUCAGGAAAAGUGCAAAGAUCGUUGCCAGACCGUAUGCGGCUUGAGCUUUAAGCCCUCGGCUCAUGCGUAUUGCAAGCAGGAUCAGUGUUGUUGUGCCUAG